CACACACGCCUACGCUGUGUUGGAUAUUAGACAGUUCAAGGGGCUGCAAUUUAUCCAGCUGAAAAAUCCUUGGAGCCAUUUACGUUGGAAGGGGAGAUACAGUGAAAAUGAUGUAAAAAACUGGACUCCAGAGUUGCAAAAAUAUUUAAACUUUGAUCCCAGACAGCUCAGAAAAUAGAUAAUGUCGCAAGGAGAAGCAAAGGCCCUGCCCAGAGCGAUGUCACAGAAUGAAAGGAGCCCCGACAUCUCGAGGACAUGGCCCCUCCUCCUCCGAGAGGAGGAGGAGCUACCGGAGAGGGCGUGGUCUUGGUGGUCUCCGCCCGUCUGACCUCCACCCCUUCCUACGGCCGUUGGUACAGCCAGGGGACAACUGAGGCCGUCUGGUCUGGGGCCGGUGGGAAAGAAAGGCGACAGGUGGAAACGGGCGAUGUGAUGACCAGGCAGCAGGAGCUGCAGGGGCAACUUCCAAGACCGGAGCUCCGAGACUGGUGCCGGCCCCACCAGCCGAGCGAGCCGUGCCCUCGUCCGUCCGCGGGGGACAGGUUAGACAGCCCCUCCUGGAGCUCCCUCUGCCGACCGGCAGGAUGAAUUGCAGCAGCCCUGACUUCAUUCCCAUCCACCCUCCUGCAAUCUACUUCUGGAAGCAAAACCAGGAAAGUCUUCAUUCCUGAUCAUCAGGAAGCCUCAAAACCUAGGCCAAAAACACCCACCCAAUACUGCAGAGGAAGCUGGGGCAAGUGUGAACUGAGCAAAGGCGGCCGGAGAAGAGCCACAGAAUUAUGUUGCAUUCGUCCUGGUCCCCAGGCCCACCAAGGUGCCUUGUAUGGAUAGCAGAGGCGUGAGCUCUGAGGUGGGCUGAGCACUUUGCAAGCAUUAUUUCCUUUAAUCCUGACACCAGCCUAUGCAGGAGAUACAUUAUCUCCAUUUUUUAAAUGAGGAAAUGGGCUUAAAGAGGUUAAGUGACUCAGCCCAGUGUGACAGUGCACGCCUGUAAUCCCAGCAUUCACGGAGGCUGAGGCAACAGAAUCACACAUUCCAGCCCAGCCUGGGCAACUAGCAUGGCCCUGUCUCAAAACUAAAAAUAAAAAGGGACUGGGAAUAAGUUCAGUGCAAAGGCCCUGGGUUCAAUCCCCAGUACAGAAGGAAAAAAAAAAAAUGAGGCUAAGUAACUCCCAAGGUCAAACAGCUAAGGAGGAGGAGAACCAGAAUCAAACCCAGAUCAAAGCCAGAACGAUUACAGAAAUGGAUUUAACCAGAGAGAAGCAAAACUGCGGAAGGGCUACUGCUACAGGGCACUGACUGACCAGUUCAUCUCGGACGCACUGCCUGGUACCAUGGCCAACACAGUCACUACUCUGAGGUACUUGUGCUGCGUCCUUCUGAGCCUCGCAUGGGUUCACAGAGGCAGCGGAACCGUGGGCUGCUGUUCCUGUGGGAGACCUAACCUGGGUGUCUCUGUGUGGACCCCCAGGGACAUCUGGUUACAUCUGCAGACAUCUUUAACUUUCACAUCCGGAGGACCAGGAGCCGCUGGAACCUAAUGGUAAGAGGCCACGGAUGCUGCUAAACAGCCCACGGCGCCCAGUCAGUCCCCACAUGAGGAAUUAGCCAGCCCCAAACAUCACCUGUGCUGGGGCUGAGAAAGCCUGGUGAGGCGAAGGAAUGAAGCACAUCAGGCCCCGUGCUGCACCCAUGUAACAAUUAUUCACACACAGGGUCUUCAUGAAACCCAGAAGUACAUAUUAUUAUCUGUAUUUCAAAUAGGAACAAGCUGAAGUCUCUCUGACCGUAUCACAAUGCCUUUCCGACAGCUAAACUGACCCGUAGUUUAAAGAGCGCUAGAGUUUAGAUCUAUAAUGUCCCCCAAAAGUCUCAUGCGUUUGGAAGGUUGGAUGGUGGGGUGCUAUGAGUUAGGAGGCGGAGCCUGAGGGAAGUGGUCACUGAUGGAAAGACCCGGAAGGCUGUGUUCUUGUCCCUGGCUCCUUCCUUCCCUCCCCUCCCUGGGUGCCAUGGGGUGAGCAGCUCUCCUCCACCAGGCCCUUCCACCAUGCAUUUCUGCCUUGCAGCCAACCUUCCAGGGACUGAACCCAGUGGGAACCGUGAACCAAA